rnacentral:rRNA from 1 species
CACCGCCCGUCACAUCACGAAAGUGGAUUGUACUAGAAGUCCGCGAGCCGACCGCAAGGAGGCAGCGGCCCAAGGUAUGAUCCACGAUUGGGGUG